UGGGGAAUUUUGGACAAUGGGCGCAAGCCUGAUCCAGCAAUGCCGCGUGCAGGAUGAAGGCCUUCGGGUUGUAAACUGCUUUUGUACGGAACGAAACGGUGAGCUCUAAUACAGUUUGCUAAUGACGGUACCGUAAGAAUAAGCACCGGCUAACUACGUGCCAGCAGCCGCGGUAAUACGUAGGGUGCGAGCGUUAAUCGGAAUUACUGGGCGUAAAGCGUGCGCAGGCGGUUAUGUAAGACAGAUGUGAAAUCCCCGGGCUCAACCUGGGAACUGCAUUUGUGACUGCAUAGCUAGAGUACGGUAGAGGGGGAUGGAAUUCCGCGUGUAGCAGUGAAAUGCGUAGAUAUGCGGAGGAACACCGAUGGCGAAGGCAAUCCCCUGGACCUGUACUGACGCUCAUGCACGAAAGCGUGGGGAGCAAACAGGAUUAGAUACCCUGGUAGUCCACGCCCUAAAGGAAGUCAACUGGUUGUUGGGUCUUCACUGACUCAGUAACGAAGCUAACGCGUGAAGUUGACCGCCUGGGGAGUACGGCCGC
rnacentral:rRNA from 1 species